CCGCCCGUCACACCAUGGGAGUUUGUUGCACCAGAAGCAGGUAGCUUAACACGCAAGUGGGGGGCGCUUGCCACGGUGUGGCCGAUGACUGGGGUG
rnacentral:rRNA from 1 species